AGUGAACGCUGGCGGUAGGCCUAACACAUGCAAGUCGAACGGCAGCACAGUAAGAGCUUGCUCUUACGGGUGGCGAGUGGCGGACGGGUGAGGAAUACAUCGGAAUCUACUUUUUCGUGGGGGAUAACGUAGGGAACCUUACGCUAAUACCGCAUACGACCUACGGGUGACAGCAGGGGAUCUUCGGACCUUGCGCGAUUGAAUGAGCCGAUGUCGGAUUAGCGGGUUGGCGGGGUAAAGGCCCACCAAGGCGACGAUCCGUAGCUGGUCUGAGAGGAUGGUCAUCUACACUGGAACUGAGACACGGUCCAGACUCCUACGCGAGGCAGCAGUGGAGAAUAUUGGACAAUGGGCGCAAGCCUGACCCAGCCAGACCGCGUGGGUGAAGAAGGCCUUCGGGUUGUAAAGCCCUUUUUUUGGGAAAGAAAAGCAGCAGGUUAAUACCCCGCUGUUCUGACGGUACCAAAAGAAUAAGCACCGGCUAACUUCGUG
rnacentral:rRNA from 1 species